GGGCCCGCACAAGCGGUGGAGCAUGUGGUUUAAUUCGAAGAUACGCGCAGAACCUUACCAACACUUGACAUGUUCGUCGCGACUCUAAGAGAUUAGAGUUUUCGGUUCGGCCGGACGAAACACAGGUGCUGCAUGGCUGUCGUCAGCUCGUGUCGUGAGAUGUUGGGUUAAGUCCCGCAACGAGCGCAACCCUCACUUUUAGUUGCCAUCAUUUAGUUGGGCACUCUGAAAGAACUGCCAGUGAUAAGCUGGAGGAAGGUGGGGAUGACGUCAAGUCCUCAUGGCCCUUACGUGUUGGGCUACACACGUGCUACAAUGGUAUCUACAACAGGAAGCAAGACUGCGAAGUUAAGCAAAUCCUUAAAAGAUACCUCAGUUCGGAUUGCACUCUGCAACUCGAGUGCAUGAAGCUGGAAUUACUAGUAAUCGU
rnacentral:rRNA from 1 species